CCUUUUAUCUGGAGUCAUCUCAAAUGCUACCUGGCAUUGCAGACCCGCCCAAGGUCACCCAGUUAGAUGGAGGCUGGGCCAGGACCAGAAGCUGGGGCCCUUGGCUUCUGGUUGGAGUAUUUCCACUCUACCUGCCUGCAGCUCCUUCCCCUGCUCCCAACCUGCAAGUAAACAGCAGCCUUGAAGCCUCCAGCCAGACACGGACACGGACACGGACACGGUGGGGGAUGGGGAAGCUGGGGCCACCCAGUUCUCAUUCACUCCAGUCAGGCCUUCCAACAUGCAUACUGAGCACCUACUUAGUACAUCUCAAGUACUGUCGCACGUAGGGGAUGAGGGCAUGGAGUCCGGCCUCAGACCUUGGUCCUUUAAUCCUUCUGAGCCUUGAUUUCCUCAUCUGGAAAAUGGGCAACAUUAACCACGCAACAUUAAUGCAGUGAGUGCUCCAUGAAAGGUGGCUAUACAAGAUGAGGGCCAGGCCCCCAGGAAGUUCUUGAUCUGUCAGGGGAGCCGGAUUCAUGGGUAACUAUACACAGUAUACACGACCACAGUGUUUAGGAGCGGAAGAGGAAGGAAUAACUAACUAACAGGGUGUGCCAACAUGUGCUGUGUUGCUCACCGGCCCGAUGCCUGCAAGGAAGCUCCUCACCCUUUUUAGAGGACCCCGGAUCUGUAUACUGGGCCCUCAUUUGUAUAUGGGGAUAAUAUAAAUAGCACAUAAAUUCAGGGUUAUGGAUUUGGACACAAUAAAUAUGAAGGGCCUGAAGCUCAGUAGUAUCAUCAGUUUUGGGGUGAAGUCAGAGAAGUCUUCACAGAAGAGGUGACAUAUGAAUCGGGUUUUGAGCAGAGCUUUACGUGGAGAAGCUAGAACAGCAUGGACAAGGGUACGGAGAUGUGGAAAUAUGGCAUAUUCAGAGAAAAGCAAGCAGCUAGGAGGGUCUGAAGCAGGGAGGUUUUAGGAGGGUGGUAGGGAGGGCGCGGGGAGUAAGCUGUGGUGGCUAUGUGCCCCAUGUAAAGAAAUUUGAACUUUAUUUUUAAGAUUUUUUUUUUAAGUAAUCUCUACACCCAACAUGGGGCUCGAACCCACAACCCUGAGAUUAAAAGUCUCAUGCUCUACCGACUGAGCCAGUUGGACCCCCUCAAGAAAUUUGAACUUUUGGACCACGACGGCCAUUGGAGGUUUUUGAGCUUACCUAGGACAGGAUCGAACUGGCAUUUAUAAGAUGUACGUUGUUAGCACGUUAUAGGCGCCUGGGUUUUUUUUGUUGUUGUUGCUUUUGCCAAGAGCCAUGUUGUAACAGCCAUAAUACAAUUGUGAUAAACUCCUGAAUAACUGUCAGAACUCUAGUGGUUGCGAGUGACAGAACAUCAAGGUUAAGCCAGGUGUGGUGGUUUUCAGAUAUGUCCACAAAUUCUUUGAUCUUCCUCCCUUCAAGAGGAGGGGCCUGCUUCCCUCCCCUUGAGCGUGGGCUUGAGGUAGUAACACUUCAGAGUUACUUCAGGGACGAGCUUAUAAAGGGCACGCCUCACUUGCUCUCUUGGAUGUCUCUCCCUCAGGGGACGUCAGCAGCCAUGUUGUGAGGACACUCACCCAGCCUAUGCAGAACCCGCGUGACAGGGAACUGAGGGCUCCUGCCAACAGCCAUGGGGUGAACCACUGUGAAAGCACAUCCUUCAGGCCCAGCCAGGCCUUCAGAGUCCUGGCUACCACCCCGCCUGAAAGCCUACAAGAGACCCUGAACCAGGAUCACGCAGGGUUAAGUGAUGCCCUGAUGCAGCAGUUCAGAGACAGUAGAACAGAGUCACGGGAAGGCAUGCGGGAAGACAGGCGUCCUGAAGGCAAAAGGGCCACCUACUCUGUCACCGCCAGAACUUCAGUCAUGCUGGGAGGAGCAGUUUCAUUUGGGCAAAUAGCAACAGUCAAAUUUAAAUUAAAGCGGCUAAGGUAUUUCUCGUCUAUCCACUCUUCUCCAUUUGCAAGAGACUGAAGUUCAUGUCCCGCCCAAAUUCACAUGUUGAAAUCCUGCCCCCCCCCCCCAAGAGCGACGGUAUUAUAGGAGGAUGAGUGGGUGUCAUGAGGGCAGAGCUCCUACCACCACAGGAGGACACAGAAGAUGGCUGUCUAGGAGCCAGGAUGUGGGCUCUCACCACACCGAAUCUGACCUUGGACUUCCCAGCCUCCAGAACCCUGAGAAAUAAACGUUCUUGUCGAAGCCA